CGGGGGGAGCAAGCGUUGUUCGGAUUUACUGGGCGUAAAGGGCGCGUAGGCGGUAGCACAAGUCAGUUGUGAAAUCUCCGGGCUUAACUCGGAAAGGUCAACUGAUACUGUGCGACUAGAGUGCAGAAGGGGCAACUGGAAUUCUCGGUGUAGCGGUGAAAUGCGUAGAUAUCGAGAGGAACACCUGCGGCGAAGGCGGGUUGCUGGGCUGACACUGACGCUGAGGCGCGAAAGCCAGGGGAGCGAACGGGAUUAGAUACCCCGGUAGUCCUGGCCUUAAACGAUGGAUGCUUGGUGUCUGGAGUUUUAUAGUCUCCGGGUGCCGCAGCUAACGCGUUAAGCAUCCCGCCUGGGGAUACGGUCGCAAGACUG
rnacentral:rRNA from 1 species